rnacentral:rRNA from 1 species
ACUUAGUGAACUGAAACAUCUUAGUAGCCAAAGGAAAAGAAAGCAAAAGCGAUUCCCAAAGUAGCGGCGAGCGGAAUGGGAACAGCCUAAAAGGACUUUAACAGUAAUGUAAAGACCAGGUCAUGGGACCAAACAUAUGGCAUCGUAUGGAAUGAGAAACGAAACAGCUGAAACCUGUACCAUAGAUGGUGAAAGUCCAGUCGUUGAAUCACUACCAACUCCAGCCGUUUGGCUCCCGAGUAGUAUGGGACACGUGAAAUCCCGUAUGAAUUUGCGAGGACCACCUCGUAAGGCUAAAUACUCCUAAGUCACCGAUAGCGAAUAGUACCGCGAGGGAAAGGUGAAAAGAACCCCUUUACGGGGAGUGAAAUAGAACAUGAAACCGUAUGCUUACAAUUUGUGGGAGGAUGAACACAUCUGACCGCAUGCCUGUUGAAGAAUGAGCUGGCGACUUAGAAGAAGUGGCAGGUUAAGAUUUUCCAUCGAAGCCAAAGCGAAAGCAUGUCUGAUAAGGGCUCUCGUCCCUUCUUCUAGACCCGAACCCAGGUGAUCUAACCAUGACCAGAAUGAAGCUUUGGUGAUACGAAGUGGAGGUUCGAACCGACCGAUGUUGAAAAAUCGACGGAUGAGUUGUGGUUAGGGGUGAAAUGCCAAUCGAACUUGGAGCUAGCUGGUUCUCCUCGAAAUGCGUUGAGGCGCAGCGGUUGAUUAUGGACUUCUAGGGGGUAAAGCGCUGUCUCGGUGCGGGCUGCGAAAGCGGUACCAAUCUGUUGCAAACUCGGAAUACCUAGAAUGUUU